AUAAUCCUAAGAUUAUUGGAGUAGAAGAAAGUUGGAUCUUUUGGAAGGAUGUUCAGAUCAUAUAAUAGCUUUUUUGUCUAGGUAUAGAAUGAUUAGAAAUUGGUUUUAUAGGACAUUAGUUAGAUAUUGGUAAAAUUAGUUAAUCAUCUAUAGGACAAUCAAUUCAGGAGGUAAGAUGGAUGAUUUAGUCAAGAAAAAUAAUUAAGUGAGAAAUAUUGGUUAAAAUCUUUGUUUUGAGGUAAGUAUAAAUUGAUCAGAGAAGAAGUAGACAAGGCCAAAUUAUGAUAGUCGUGAGCCAAGGUAAGCUUGGUACUACCUCUUAUUUUUAUUUUCUUUAUAAAAGAAGGAUAAUAGAUAGAUUUUGAAUAAUGUGAAGUAAAAUUUUGUAAUGAAAGAAAGAUUUGAUUUAUAUAAUGUCAAAUGAGAAAUUGAAUUUAUUGUGUACUAAAUUAUAAGUGAAAAAUUGAAAAGUUGGUAAUUGAAGAUGCUUGUGAAAUAUGGAUAUAAAUGGAAGAAUUAUAAUACAUUGAUUAUCGAAAAUUGAGAGUGUUUUGCAAAAAAAAAGUUUGUGGAGUCUAGAAUUGUAAGAAGCAGAUUAUUAGGAAUGACAAUUAGUUUUGGAGAAUUCCAGUGAUUGGAUUAUUAAAUGUUUUAUGCAAUCUUUUAAGAUAGUAUAGUAUUACAUAUUUUUGUUAUAAGUUUA
rnacentral:lncRNA from 1 species